rnacentral:rRNA from 1 species
UACACUCCUGCGGGAGGCAGCAGUGGGGAAUUUUGGACAAUGGGCGAAAGCCUGAUCCAGCAAUGCCGCGUGAGUGAAGAAGGCCUUCGGGUUGUAAAGCUCUUUUGUCAGGGAAGAAACGGUGAGAGCUAAUAUCUUUUGCUAAUGACGGUACCUGAAGAAUAAGCACCGGCUAACUACGUGCCAGCAGCCGCGGUAAUACGUAGGGUGCAAGCGUUAAUCGGAAUUACUGGGCGUAAAGCGUGCGCAGGCGGUUUUGUAAGUCUGAUGUGAAAUCCCCGGGCUCAACCUGGGAAUUGCAUUGGAGACUGCAAGGCUAGAAUCUGGCAGAGGGGGGUAGAAUUCCACGUGUAGCAGUGAAAUGCGUAGAUAUGUGGAGGAACACCGAUGGCGAAGGCAGCCCCCUGGGUCAAGAUUGACGCUCAUGCACGAAAGCGUGGGGAGCAAACAGGAUUAGAAACCCCUGUAGUCCCA